rnacentral:rRNA from 1 species
UACAGAGGGUGCAAGCGUUAAUCGGAGUUACUGGGCGUAAAGGGCGCGUAGGCGGUUUGUUAAGUGAGAUGUGAAAUCCCUGGGCUUAACCUAGGAACUGCAUCUUAUACUGGCAAACUGGAGUACUGUAGAGGGUAGUGGAAUUUCCGGUGUAGCGGUGAAAUGCGUAGAGAUCGGAAGGAACACCAGUGGCGAAGGCGGCUACCUGGACAGAUACUGACGCUGAGGCGCGAGAGCGUGGGGAGCAAACAGG